AGUGCGUCGUAGUCCGGAUUGGAGUCUGCAACUCGACUCCAUGAAGUCGGAAUCGCUAGUAAUCGUGGAUCAGAAUGCCACGGUGAAUACGUUCCCGGGCCUUGUACACACCGCCCGUCACACCAUGGGAGUGGGUUGCAAAAGAAGUAGGUAGCUUAACCUUCGGGGGGGCGCUUACCACUUUGUGAUUCAUGACUGGGGUGAAGUCGUAACAAGGUAACCGUAGGGGAACCUGCGGUUGGAUCACCUCCUUACCUUAAAGAAGC
rnacentral:rRNA from 2 species